AUUGAACGCUGGCGGCAGGCCUAACACAUGCAAGUCGAGCGGAUGAAGGGAGCUUGCUCCUGGAUUCAGCGGCGGACGGGUGAGUAAUGCCUAGGAAUCUGCCUGGUAGUGGGGGAUAACGUCCGGAAACGGGCGCUAAUACCGCAUACGUCCUGAGGGAGAAAGUGGGGGAUCUUCGGACCUCACGCUAUCAGAUGAGCCUAGGUCGGAUUAGCUAGUUGGUGGGGUAAAGGCCUACCAAGGCGACGAUCCGUAACUGGUCUGAGAGGAUGAUCAGUCACACUGGAACUGAGACACGGUCCAGACUCCUACGGGAGGCAGCAGUGGGGAAUAUUGGACAAUGGGCGAAAGCCUGAUCCAGACAAGCAGCGUGUGUGAAGAAGGUCUUCGGAUUGUAAAGCACUUUAAGUUGGGAGGAAGGGCAGUAAGUUAAUACCUUGCUGUUUUGACGUUACCAACAGAAUAAGCACCGGCUAACUUCGUG
rnacentral:rRNA from 1 species